AAAGGAAUAGACGGGGACCCGCACAAGCAGCGGAGCGUGUGGUUUAAUUCGAGGCUACGCGAAGAACCUUACCAGGGCUUGACAUAUGCGUGGUAGCGAGCCGAAAGGUGAGCGACCCUUCGGGGAGCGUAUACAGGUGCUGCAUGGCUGUCGUCAGCUCGUGCCGUGAGGUGUUAGGUUAAGUCCUGUAACGAGCGCAACCCUCGUCGCUAGUUAUACGUGUCUAGCGAGACUGCCCGUGAUAAGCGGGAGGAAGGUGGGGAUGACGUCAAGUCAGCAUGGCCUUUAUGUCCUGGGCUACACACACGCUACAAUGGCCGGUACAAUGGGUAGCCAAGCCGCGAGGUGGAGCCAAUCCCCCAAAGCCGGUCUCAGUUCGGAUUGUAGGCUGCAACUCGCCUGCAUGAAGUCGGAGUUGCUAGUAAACGCGCGUCAGCAACAGUGCGUUGAAUACGUUCCCGGGUCUUGUACACACCGCCCGU
rnacentral:rRNA from 1 species